ACCCCUGUGAAAAUGCCCUAAUAGUUCCUUGCCUAGGAACAAGGAGCCGAUAUCAGGCACAUAAAUAUAGCCCACGACAUCUUGCUCAGCCACACCCCCAAGGGAAUCAGCAGUAAUAGAUUUUAAAAAAUAAGUGAAAACUUGACUUAGUUAAAGCUAAGUAGGGUCGGUAAAACUCGUGCCAGCUACCGCGGUUAUACGAGAGACCCAAGUUGACAGACAACGGCGUAAAGCGUGGUUAAAAGACUAAUUAACUAAGACCGAACACUUUUAGGACUGUAAUACGUAUUUAAAAGCUGGAAGCCCAACGACGAAAGUGGUCUUAACCAGAAUCUGAACCCACGAAAGCUAUGGCACAAACUGGGAUUAGGUACCCCACUAUGCUUAGCCAUAAACAUAGGUAGUUUUAUACCUCCUACUACCCGCCUGGGUACUACAAGCAUGAGCUUAAAACCCAAAGGACUUGGCGGUGCUUUAGACCCACCUAGAGGAGCCUGUUCUAUAACCGAUAAUCCCCGUCUAACCUCACCUUUCCCUUGUUCAUUACUGCUUAUAUACCGCCGUCGUAAGCUCACCCUGUGAAGGUCAAAUAGUAAGCGAAAUUGGCAUACCCCCAGAACGUCAGGUCGAGGUGUAGCGUAUGGGAAGGGAAGAAAUGGGCUACAUUCCCUUAAUCAGGGCAUACGAAUGACAUGUUGAAACACAUCUCUGAAGGUGGAUUUAGCAGUAAGUAGAAAACAGAGUGUUCUACUGAAAUAGGCUCUAAAGCGCGCACACACCGCCCGUCACUCUCCCCGAAUCUCUAGACCUGAAAUAAUUAGCAUUCUAUUAAUAGAGGGGAGGCAAGUCGUAACAUGGUAAGUGUACCGGAAGGUGCUCUUGGAUUAACAAU
rnacentral:ncRNA from 1 species